rnacentral:rRNA from 1 species
AGCGAACGCUGGCGGCAGGCCUAACGCAUGCAAGUCGAACGAACUCUUCGGAGUUAGGGGCGGACGGGUGAGGAACACGUGGGAACGUGCCCUUGGGUUCGGAAUACCUCACGGAAACUUGUGCUAAUACAGAAUGUGCCCUUCGGGGGAAAGAUUUUUCGCCAUUAGAGCGGCCCGCGUCUGAUUAGCUAGUUGGUGAGGUAACGGCAGGCCAUGGCGCCGAUCAGUAGCUGGUCUGAGAAGAUGACCCGUCACACUUGGACUGCGACACGGCCCAGACCCCUACGGAUGGCAGCGGUGGGGAACCUUACGCAAUGGACGAGAGCCUGACGGCGCCCCGUCGGGAGAAUGAGGCAGCUGUUAGGAUCCUGAAAUUGUUUCAGAGGGGACGUUAAUGACGGUAAUCGGAGAAGAAGCCCCGGCUAACUUCGUG